CAUUAGCGUAUACUAAAGUUGUUGCAGUUAAAACGCUCGUAGUUGAAUAUUGGACGAUUCGAAGAUGUUACGAUGGUAGUGUCAUUGAGUUGUCAUAUUCCCCAGUUUUGGGGAGAGUUACUUUGAGGAAAAUAGAGUGUUCCAAGCGAGCUAUGUCGAAUAGUGCAGCAUAGAAUAACAAUAGAUGACUCGAUGUAAUGUAUUACAAUGAGUAAAGGUGAAUAGGAGCGGUUGGGGGUGCCGGUAUUGAGUGCGGAGAGGUGAAAUUCUAAGAGUCACUCAGGACGAACGAAUGCGAAAGCAGAUGCCAAGGACGUUUCUGUUGA
rnacentral:rRNA from 1 species